rnacentral:sRNA from 1 species
AAGGGAGGAAAAAAAAAAUCACUGUUCUUUGUAGCUCUAACCAUGAAAGUAAAAGCAACAAAAAUAUCCCCCAGUGAAUCCCUAGAAUCAUUUAAUAAUGUAACCGGUUUCUCUUUAUCCUGCAGGUGUACACUUAAAGCGUUCUGGGAAUAUGAAUCCCUUCUGCACCCUGGAAUCACCAGUCCAGCCAUGCAUGGAGCUGGGGAAAGCAGGCCCUGAAUUGUCUAGAGAGACUUGGUGGAGGAGGCCACGGCCCGCCUUGUCCCUGCCGGGUCCCAGCCAGGAACAACUGGAUGUUGUAAAUGUUUCUCAUCUGGCCUUAAAAUCCAUGAAAGCUGGAAAAUCACAAGGCAUCUGUGCACAUACUGGUGGAUUUUAAUGAGAGUCCUGUGUUUGGAGCACCAGAAAUAAACCAGCUUCAGAAGCAAAGGAGGAGGAAGCAGAGCUAGAGAUGGAAGGAGACCCAGCCAGCCCGGGCUCCAGUGACAUCGGCUGGUACACGCUUUUGUUUGCUUACGCUUGUUGAACUGAGUUUUUCAUAUGUAACUAACGAAUAGUGGCACAUGUGAGCCCGAGAAUUUGCAUUUCUGACAAGAUCCCAGGAUCUGAACGUCUAUGACACUCUUUCGAGCUGACACAGUGAAGAACAUGGAAGGAGAACUCACCCAGUCUGCCAGGGUCACAGAUGAUCAUACUCAAGAUCUUCCUGGGGAGUCAAUGGCAAAUUUCACUGGGCUAUUUUACAGAUGAAGAAGGAACAUAAAGAAGGUUCUGGGACCCU